CGUGGAGACAGGUGGUGCAAGGCUGUCGUCAGCUCGUGUCGUGAGAUGUCGGGUUAAGUCCCGCAACGAGCGCAACCCUCACCUCUUGUUGCCAUCAGGUCAUGCUGGGCACUCUAGAGGAACUGCCCCGGUCAACGGGGAGGAAGGCGGGGAUGACGUCAAGUCGUCAUGCCCCUUACGUCCUGGGCUACACACGUGCUACAAUGGCCGGUACAAAGGGAUGCCACACCGCGAGGUAGAGCUAAACCCAAAAAGCCAGUCUAAGUUCAGAUUGGAGUCUGCAACUCGACUCCAUGAAGGAGGAAUCGCUAGUAAUCGCGUAUCAGCACGACGCGGUGAAUACGUUCCCGGGCCUUGUACACACCGCCCGUCACACCACGAAAGCCUGCUGUACUCGAAGUCGCUGAG
rnacentral:rRNA from 1 species